rnacentral:tRNA from 1 species
AUUUAUGUAGUUUAAAAAACAUUACACUUUCACUGUAAAGAUAAAGGCAACUUUCAUAAAUA